CCAAUUCAUUACAUAUGACUUCAGUAACUGAACCUCUCUCACAGUCCUAUAGGUUAGACACUAUAAUGUUCCUCAUUUUAGAGAUAAGAAUAAUGCAAAUAAUAACGACAGACCUUCGUUGCAUAGCAAUUUAAAGGUUUCGAUUUGCUGCAAUGGAGGUAACUCUUUUGAUUUCAAAACCCACUUGAGAGGUACGUAUUAUUCCUUGAUUCUGAAGAAAUUCAAAGGAAGUCACUAGGUCACAAACUAAAUGACACAGCUCAAAAUCAACUGCAAGAGACACAGACAUGGAGAGAGAUAUAUGGAACUCAAAGAAGAAACUGUGCUCAGAGACCACCACUGCAGCAGCAACCUUCACACUAUACAAGGUUUCUCUGAGGCUCAAAAAGAAAUCAAAAGGAAACACAAAGUGAAGUUCCUAACUUGUCCUCAUUGUAUCAUUUUCUUUUUAUUCCAUCUGCACGUUAUGUAACAGAAUAUUUCUAAAAUGUGUGGGACAUUAUUGGUGCCUUUCAUUAGAUCUAGUGCCAAUGAAGAUUUUCUCAUUUUUCUAUGUAUUACAAUAAUUUUAGUAUAUGUAAUUUAUUCUCUUACAGAAUUGGGGGUGGUAAAGCCAUCAGAUAAAGAACACCAGAAACAGAGCUGGGUUUGUUAAGUUGCUGCUACAAGAGAGAAUGGACAAGAGGAGCCAUGGGGCCUCUCAUUAGGAAGGAGGAAGAUUUUUAUGGGGUUUGAGCUUGUUCUGGGUGAUUCUAAAAAAAGGGAAGUGAGGAUCAGCUCUGAAUUGGUACAUUCCUAAAGGAAUUUCACAGCUACAGUGUGGCCUUGGAAGAAAGUUCUUUUUACGUUGGCUUUGCCAGUGGCCUGUCUGCUACAGUCUGGUUAUCAACAGGGCUGAUUUUUCUCUUGCCAAUUCUGGAUGGAUUUUACUCUUUCAGAUGUAUCACAAGGAAAGUUUGAAAAAGAAGACAAAAAUUACAACAUUUUCAGAAAAUGAAGACAAGAGGAACACCAUGUAUCACAACAUAUUUAUGCCAAAUUUUCUUAGCCUUUCCCAUGAUGCUGCAGAAGGCACAAAAAUAACUGGAUAGCUGAAUUUCACCCUCAGAAUAAAUGGAUUCUCCAUCUUAAAUGAUCAAGGACAGUUGGAAGAAGUUCUGUCCACUGCUAUGUCAAGAAUUGCCUUACCCUCUGCCUUUCUAAAUGCAGGUUUAUAAAGGACUGAAUUAAUUCCUUUGAGAUUUUGACCAAAUCAUGACAAGAAAAUAACCUACAAGGUCUCUGAAAAAAGCAUUCAGUUGAAUUUAUAUUGGGACUUCAUAACAACUGAUGUUGAAUUGAAACAAAAGGAAACCAAUCUAUCACCGUUAUUUGAUGAUAAAUCACUUUUGUUAUCCUCUAAACGCAAUCAGAUUUUACCUUUGACAUAGUUAGCAAUUUUUUUUCUUUUCUUUCUUUCUUCUUUCUUUUUUGGCUUUCAUUUCUCUGAGUGGGGAAAAGAAUCCAACAAGAGCCAGAUUUUUAUUUGUUUGCUUUUUUUCCUCUCACCAAAAUAAUUGGGAUUUGCUGGUGAAAGGAGAGUACUUAUGAAUUGCAAAAGCAUGCCUUCUGAUAAAUACUUCAUCAUUUCUGGAAAAUAAAAGCAAUGAAAAAAUGCAAUACAUUUUGUUUUUAGAAAAAGAAACAGACUAAAACCUUAUCAUAUUAACCUCAGGGACCCAUGCUGGGGAGCUCAAGUGGCCAGCCCCUGCUUAUUGUUCUAGUUAUCUUAGGGGUGGUCAGGUAUGUGGUGUUCCUCAGAGCUUUGGGGGUUCUAAUAAGAAUCUCCACAUUCAGCUUCCCCUACCGUUACUCCCCCUUCCCCACCAGCAGCAAGGAAUACACAUUGAAUCCCUUAGUGAGGAGAGGCCUCUUGGCAUUAGUCAAACAGACAAUUUUGUGUAGUGUUGACCCAAGUUUUAAGAUGGGUUCCAGGUGUGCUAGUUGAUGGAUUAACUUGUAUGGAUGAGCUGCUUAACCUCUCUGAACCUCUACUGUCUCAUUUGUAAAAGAAAGAUAAUACAUGAAUCCAGUAGGGAGUUACAAGA